rnacentral:rRNA from 1 species
UACAGAGGUCUCAAGCGUUGUUCGGAUUCAUUGGGCGUAAAGAGCUCGUAGGCGGUUUGUCGCGUCGAAUGUGAAAACCCGGGGCUCAACUCCGGGCCUGCAUUCGAUACGGGCAGACUAGAGUUCGGUAGGGGAGACUGGAAUUCCUGGUGUAGCGGUGAAAUGCGCAGAUAUCAGGAGGAACACCGGUGGCGAAGGCGGGUCUCUGGGCCGAUACUGACGCUGAGGAGCGAAAGCGUGGGGAGCGAACAGG